rnacentral:tRNA from 1 species
GCCCGGCUAGCUCAAUCGGUAGAGCGUGAGACUCUUAUACAGAGUACAUCUCAAGGUUGCGGGUUCGACCCCCGCGUUGGGCU